rnacentral:rRNA from 1 species
UACAGAGGGUGCAAGCGUUGUUCGGAAUUAUUGGGCGUAAAGCGCGUGCAGGCGGCCAACUAAGUCCGAUGUGAAAGCCCGGGGCUCACCUCCGGAAGUGCGCUGGAAACUAGUUGACUAGAGUACGGGAGAGGGAAGCGGAAUUCCUGGUGUAGCGGUGAAAUGCGUAGAUAUCAGGAGGAACACCGGCGGCGAAGGCGGCUUCCUGGACCGAUACUGACGCUGAGACGCGAAAGCGUGGGGAGCAAACAGG